rnacentral:rRNA from 1 species
GACUACAGUCAUAUUACCCUGAAUGCACCCAAUCUUAUCUUGUCUCAGAAGCUAAGCAGGGUCAGGCCUGGUUAGUACUUGGAUGGGAGAAAAAUCUUCAGAGGAGACUGCUCAGAGACAAUAGUUC